UACGAACCGGACGAACGUUAUUCGGAAUUAUUGGGCUUAAAGGGUGCGUAGGCGGUGCGGUAAGUGAGGUGUGAAAUCCCACGGCUCAACCGCGGAAUUGCGCUUCAUACUGCCGUGCUAGAGGGAGACAGGGGUAAGCGGAAUUGAUGGUGGAGCGGUGAAAUGCGUUGAUAUCAUCAGGAACACCAGUGGCGAAAGCGGCUUACUGGGUCUCUUCUGACGCUGAGGUACGAAAGCUAGGGUAGCGAACGGG
rnacentral:misc_RNA from 1 species